rnacentral:rRNA from 1 species
GUGAGGGGAGUGAAAUAGAACCUGAAACCGUGUACGUACAAGCAGUAGGAGCACCUUCGUGGUGUGACUGCGUACCUUUUGUAUAAUGGGUCAGCGACUUAUAUUCAGUGGCAAGGUUAACCGUAUAGGGGAGCCGUAGCGAAAGCGAGUCUUAACUGGGCGCUCAGUCUCUGGAUAUAGACCCGAAACCGGGUGAUCUAGCCAUGGGCAGGUUGAAGGUUGAGUAACAUCAACUGGAGGACCGAACCGACUAAUGUUGAAAAAUUAGCGGAUGACUUGUGGCUAGGGGUGAAAGGCCAAUCAAACUCGGAGAUAGCUGGUUCUCCCCGAAAGCUAUUUAGGUAGCGCCUCGGACGAAUACUACUGGGGGUAGAGCACUGUUAAGGCUAGGGGGUCAUCCCGACUUACCAACCCUUUGCAAACUCCGAAUACCAGUAAGUACUAUCCGGGAGACACACGGCGGGUGCUAACGUCCGUCGUGGAGAGGGAAACAACCCAGACCGCCAGCUAAGGUCCCAAAGUAUUGCUAAGUGGGAAACGAUGUGGGAAGGCUCAGACAGCUAGGAUGUUGGCUUAGAAGCAGCCAUCAUUUAAAGAAAGCGUAAUAGCUCACUAGUCGAGUCGGCCUGCGCGGAAGAUGUAACGGGGCUAAGCAAUACACCGAAGCUGCGGCAAUGUCUUUUAGA